rnacentral:rRNA from 1 species
AACGAACGCUGGCGGCAGGCUUAACACAUGCAAGUCGAGCGCACCUUCGGGUGAGCGGCGGACGGGUGAGUAACGCGUGGGAACAUGCCCUUUGGUAAGGAAUAGCCUCUGGAAACGGAGAGUAAUACCUUAUAAGCCCCCCUUUGGAGACAUUGGGGGGGAAAGAUUUAUCGCCAAAGGAUUGGCCCGCGUUGGAUUAGGUAGUUGGUGAGGUAACGGCUCACCAAGCCGACGAUCCAUAGCUGGUUUGAGAGGAUGAUCAGCCACACUGGGACUGAGACACGGCCCAGACUCCUACGGGAGGCAGCAGUGGGGAAUCUUGGACAAUGGGGGCAACCCUGAUCCAGCCAUGCCGCGUGAUCGAUGAAGGCCUUAGGGUUGUAAAGAUCUUUCAACGGUGACGAUAAUGACGGUAGCCGUAGAAGAAGUCCCGGCUAACUUCG